rnacentral:lncRNA from 1 species
GGAAGGGGUGAGGCCGCCCGCACGGCAGAGGGCGCUCAGCUCCGCGUGCGUGCGCCCGUCUGGUGGGCGUCGGAGAGCGGCUUGUUCUUCCCCUACGGCCGUCUUUGGAGAACCAACUCAGAUCCCAGUGACCCAAGGCACCGAGCUUGCGGCGCGGGGACCCUGGGGACACAGUGCGUCCCAGCCGCUCACCUGUGGGGACUCUGGGGGACACAGUGCAUCCCAGCAGCACACCUGCGGGGACCCUGGGGACACAGUGCGUCCCAGCCGCACAGCUGUGGGGACCCUGGGGACACAGGGCAUCUCAGCCGCACACCUGUGGGGACCCUGGGGGACACAGUGCGUCCCAGCCGCACACCUGUGGGGACCCUGGGGGACACAGUGAGUCCCAGCCGCACACCUGCAGGGACCCUGGGGGACACAGUGAGUCCCAGCCGCACACCUGUGGAGACCCGGGGGACACAGUGCGUCCCAGCCGCACACCUGUGGGGACCCUGGGGACACAGUGCAUCCCAGCCGCACACCUGUGGGGACCCUGGGGGACACAGUGCGUCCCAGCCACACACCUGUGGAGACCCGGGGGACACAGUGCGUCCCAGCCACACACCUGUGGGGACCCUGGGGGACACAGUGAGUCCCAGCCACACACCUGCAGGGACCCUGGGGGACACAGUGCGUCCCAGCCACACACCUGUGGAGACCCGGGGGACACAGUGCGUCCCAGCCACACACCUGCGGGGAUCCUGGGGACACAGUGCGUCCCAGCCGCACACCUGUGGGGACUCUGGGGACCCUGGGGGACACAGUGCGUCCCAGUUGCACACCUGCGGGGACCCUGGGGACACAGUGCGUCCCAGCCGCACACCUGUGGGGACCCUGGGGACACAGUGCGUCCCAGCCACUCACCUGUGGGGACCCUGGGACACAGUGCGUCCCAGCCUCUCACCUGUGGGGAUCCUGGGGACACAGUGCGUCCCAGCCUCUCACCUGUGGGGACUCUGGAGAUCCUGGGGGACACAGUGCAUCCCAGCCGCACACCUGCUGGUCCUGGCGUCCAGGGUGUCCUGGCCACAGGUGUCAGGUGGGGAGGUGUGGAGCCAGAUCUUGCCUGGCCAGGGCUGA